rnacentral:rRNA from 1 species
UACGUAGGGUGCGAGCGUUAAUCGGAAUUACUGGGCGUAAAGCGUGCGCAGGCGGUUCGUUGUGUCGGUGGUGAAAGCCCCGGGCUUAACCCUGGGAAUGGCCAUGGAAACUGGCGAACUGGAGUGUGGCAGAGGGGGGUGGAAUUCCGCGGUGUAGCAGUGAAAUGCGUAGAGAAUGCGGAGGAACACCGAUGGCGAAGGCAGCCCC